UACGUAGGGGGCAAGCGUUGCCCGGAUUUAUUGGGCGUAAAGGGCGCGCAGGCGGCUACGCACGUCCGUUGUGAAAUCGCUCGGCUCAACUGGGCGGGGUCGGCGGAUACGGCGUAGCUGGAGCAAGCUAGGGGGCAAUGGAAUUCCCGGUGUAGUGGUGGAAUGCGUAGAUAUCGGGAGGAACACCAGUGGCGAAGGCGGUUGCCUGGAGCUUUGCUGACGCUGAGGCGCGAAAGCGUGGGGAGCGAUCCGG
rnacentral:rRNA from 1 species